rnacentral:rRNA from 1 species
UACGGGGGGUGCAAGCGUUGUUCGGAUUUACUGGGCGUAAAGGGCGCGUAGGCGGCACUGCAAGUCAGUUGUGAAAUCUCCGGGCUUAACCAGGAAAGGUCAACUGAUACUGCAGGGCUAGAGUGCAGAAGGGGCAACUGGAAUUCUCGGUGUAGCGGUGAAAUGCGUAGAUAUCGAGAGGAACACCUGCGGCGAAGGCGGGUUGCUGGGCUGACACUGACGCUGAGGCGCGAAAGCCAGGGGAGCGAACGGG